AUUUUUCGUUCCAUUUUCAGAUAUGUUUCGUACAGAGGAUCAUGGAACGUUUAACGUUAUUAGUAUUAUCUUCUUGUGGAUAUCUGUCUCCUGCCGAAGCUGUUCUUCUUUACCGACAACUUUACGUGCUCAAGAAUUUUCUGGAAUAUGGUGCAGUGGUUGAGAAUCAAAUCCGAGUUGGAUAUGCAGAAGAAUUUAGAUAUUACAUCAGAAAGCCAGUGGUAAAGAAGAAACUUUCCACCAAGUUUCCCCUGACAAGUCCCAUAAUAGAACUACUG